UCUCAUUCAAACACUUUACAGACUGAGCAUCAAACCGAAAGAUUGAGGAGACUAAAUAAACUCCUGUAGCCACACCCCUGUGCACAUACACAGGUGUGUGCGGCACCAUUACGAUCAAAACAUUAACACCAGUCUAUGGAGAACAUCUAAGGAUGAAGAUGUUAUUUAUAUUGCUGGCAUUUCCCUCCUUUAUCAAAGGUUGUACUGGCCUUACUCUUUAUGGAGAGGUCGGAGGGACGGUCGUAUUUCAAUGCAACUCAACUCGGAAGGAUGUACAAUCUCUUU